CGCGGCCUAUCAGCUUGUUGGGGGGGUAAUGGCUCACCAAGGCAUCGACGGGUAGCUGGUCUGAGAGGAUGAUCAGCCACACUGGGACUGAGACACGGCCCAGACUCCUACGGGAGGCAGCAGUGGGGAAUCUUGCACAAUGGGCGCAAGCCUGAUGCAGCAACGCCGCGUGCGGGAAGAAGGCCUUAGGGUUGUAAACCGCUUUCAGUAGGGAAGAAAAUGACGGUACCUACAGAAGAAGGUGCGGCCAACUACGUGCCAGCAGCCGCGGUAACACGUUGGCACCAAGCGUUAUCCGGAUUUAUUGGGCGUAAAGGGCUCGUAGGCGGUUCAGUCAGUCGGGUGUGAAAACUUGAGGCUUAACCUCAAGAGGUCACUCGAUACUACUGUGACUAGAGUGCGGUAGGGGAGCGGGGAAUUCCUGGUGUAGCGGUGAAAUGCGCAGAUAUCAGGAGGAACACCAGUGGCGAAGGCGCCGCUCUGGGCCGUAACUGACGCUGAGGAGCGAAGGCAUGGGUAGCAAACAGGAUUAGAUACCCUGGUAGUCCAUGCCGUAAACGUUGGGCACUAGGUGUGGGUCUCAACCAACGAGAUCCGCGCCGUCGCUAACGCAUUAAGUGCCCCGCCUGGGAGUACGG
rnacentral:rRNA from 1 species